rnacentral:rRNA from 1 species
AUUGAACGCUGGAGGCAGGCCUAACACAUGCAAGUCGAACGAGUGGCGGACGGGUGAGUAAUGUCUGGGAAACUGCCUGAUGGAGGGGGAUAACUACUGGAAACGGUAGCUAAUACCGCAUACCAUCAGAUGUGCCCAGAUGGGAUUAGCUGGUUGGUGGGGUAACGGCUCACCAAGGGGUCGAUCCCUAGCUGGUCUGAGAGGAUGACCGGCCACACGGGAACUGUGACACGGUCCAGACUCCUACGGUGGGCAGCAGUGGGUAAUAUUUCACAAUGGGCGCAAGCCGGAUGCAGCCAUGCCGCGUGUAUGAAGAAGGCCUUCGGGUUGUAAAGUACUUUCAGCGGGGAGGCGUUACCCGCAGAAGAAGCACCGGCUAACUCCGUGCCAGCAGCCGCGGUAAUUC